GACGAACGCUGGCGGCGUGCUUAACACAUGCAAGUCGAACGGAAAGGCCCUGCUUUUGUGGGGUGCUCGAGGGCGAACGGGGGAGUAACACCUGAGUAACCUGCCCCUUGCUUUGGGAUAACUUCAGGAAAAUGGGGGUAAUACCGGAUAGGAGCUCCUGCCGCCUGGUGGGGGGUGGGAAGUUUCGGCGGUUGGGGAUGGACUCGGGGCUUAUCAGCUUGUUGGGGGGGUAGUGGCUUACCAAGGCUUUGACGGGUAGCCGGCCUGAGAGGGUGACCGGCCACAUUGGGACUGAGAUACGGCCCAGACUCCUACGGGAGGCAGCAGUGGGGAAUAUUGCACAAUGGGCGGAAGCCUGAUGCAGCAACGCCGCGUGCGGGAUGACGGCCUUCGGGUUGUAAACCGCUUUCGCCUGUGACGAAGCGUGAGUGACGGUAAUGGGUAAAGAAGCACCGGCUAACUACGUG
rnacentral:rRNA from 1 species